CCUACGGGAGUCAGCAGUAGGGAAUUUUUCACAAUGGGCGAAAGCCUGAUGGAGCAACGCCGCGUGCAGGAUGAAGGCCUUCGGGUUGUAAACUGCUUUUAUAAGCGAGAAAUAUGAUGGUAACUUAUGAAUAAGGAUCGGCUAACUACGUGCCAGCAGCCGCGGUCAUACGUAGGAUCCGAGCAUUAUCCGGAGUGACUGGGUGUAAAGAGUUGCGUAGGUGGCAUAAUAAGUAGCUAGUGAAAUCUGGUGGCUCAACCAUUCAGACUAUUAGCUAAACUGUUAAGCUCGAGACCGUUAGGGGUAACUGGAAUUUCUAGUGUAGGAGUGAAAUCCGUAGAUAUUAGAAGGAACACCAAUAGCGUAGGCAGGUUGCUGGGACGGUUCUGACACUAAGGCACGAAAGCGUAGGGAGCAAACGGGAUUAGAUACCCCAGUAGUC
rnacentral:rRNA from 1 species